rnacentral:rRNA from 1 species
GUCCAGACUCCUACGGGAGGCAGCAGUGAGGAAUAUUGGUCAAUGGGCUUACGCCUGAACCAGCCAAGUCGCGUGAGGGAAGAAUGUCCUAUGGAUUGUAAACCUCUUUUGUCAGGGAGCAAAGUCACCCACGUGUGGGUGUUGGAGAGUACCUGAAGAAAAAGCAUCGGCUAACUCCGUGCCAGCAGCCGCGGUAAUACGGAGGAUGCGAGCGUUAUCCGGAUUUAUUGGGUUUAAAGGGUGCGUAGGCGGUUUUUUAAGUUAGUGGUUAAACGUCGGGGCUUCACCUUGAUUUGCCAUUAAUACUGUAAGACUCGAAUUCAGACGAGGUAGGCGGAAUAAGUUAAGUAGCGGUGAAAUGCUUAGAUAUAACUUAGAACUCCGAUAGCGAAGGCAGCUUACCAGACUGCGACCGACGCUGAAGCACGAGAGCGUGGGUAGCGAACAGGAUUAGAUACCCGAGUA